GUGUGUGAAGAAGGCCCGAGGGUUGUAAAGCACUUUCAAUUGUGAGGAAGAUAGUGUCGCUAAUAUCGGCAUUGUUUGACGUUAACUUUAGAAGAAGCACCGGCUAACUCUGUGCCAGCAGCCGCGGUAAUACAGAGGGUGCAAGCGUUAUUCGGAAUUACUGGGCGUAAAGCGCGCGUAGGCGGGCUAUUAAGUCAGUUGUGAAAGCCCUGGGCUCAACCUGGGAACUGCAUCUGAUACUGGUAGUCUAGAGUUUAAGAGAGGGAAGUGGAAUUCCAGGUGUAGCAGUGAAAUGCGUAGAUAUCUGGAGGAACAUCAGUGGCGAAGGCGACUUCCUGGCUUAAAACUGACGCUGAGGUGCGAAAGCGUGGGUAGCGAACGGGAUUAGAUACCCCGGUAGUCCACGCCGUAAACGAUGUCAACUAGUUGUUGGUCUUAUUAAAAAGAUUAGUAACGAAGCUAACGCGAUAAGUUGACCGCCUGGGGAGUACGGUCGCAAGAUUAAAACU
rnacentral:rRNA from 1 species